CAUAGCUCAGUUGGUAGAGCACAUGACUUUAAGAAGUUCCUAAAAGGCUGUGGUUCAAAGGUCGCUGGUUCAACUCCUGCUCCAA
rnacentral:tRNA from 1 species